UACGUAGGGUGCAAGCGUUGUCCGGAAUUAUUGGGCGUAAAGAGCUCGUAGGCGGUUUGUCGCGUCUGCUGUGAAAACUCGGGGCUUAACUCCGGGCCUGCAGUGGGUACGGGCAGACUAGAGUGCGGUAGGGGAGACUGGAAUUCCUGGUGUAGCGGUGAAAUGCGCAGAUAUCAGGAGGAACACCAGUGGCGAAGGCGGCUCACUGGCCCGGUACUGACGCUGAGGUGCGAAAGCGUGGGGAGCAAACAGG
rnacentral:rRNA from 1 species